UUUCCGUAGGUGAACCUGCGGAAGGAUCAUUACUGAGUGAGGGCCCUCUGGGUCCAACCUCCCACCCGUGUUUAUUGUACCUUGUUGCUUCGGUGAGCCCGCCUCACGGCCGCCGGGGGGCAUCUGCCCCCGGGCCCGCGCUCGCCGAAGACGCCCUUGAACUCUGUCUGAAGUUUGCAGUCUGAGCGAAGACUAAAUAAGUUAAAACUUUCAACAACGGAUCUCUUGGUUCCG
rnacentral:misc_RNA from 1 species